rnacentral:lncRNA from 1 species
AAAACCUUUUUUCCUUCCUUGUAGAGUUACAAACUCUGGAAAAAUCUUACAUAUCUAUGUUAGCAUCCUUUGAUUCAUACACAUUCAUUUGUGGAUUCAAACAACACAACUAUUGGUUUAGACCAUACUCUUUUUUUCUCUUUGGCUAAUCACUAUUUAUUGGUUAAUCCCACACUCUUUUACACUUCAAGCAGUUCACCAU